rnacentral:sRNA from 1 species
AAACCAACAGGGAUUGCCUCAGUAACGGCGAGUGAAGCGGCAACAGCUCAAAUUUGAAAUCUGGCCGCAAGGUCCGAGUUGUAAUUUGUAGAGGAUGCUUUUGGCGAGGUGACUUCCGAGUUCCCUGGAACGGGACGCCAUAGAGGGUGAGAGCCCCGUACGGUCGUGCCACCGAGCCUCUGUAAAGCUCCUUCGACGAGUCGAGUAGUUUGGGAAUGCUGCUCUAAAUGGGAGGUGUACGUCUUCUAAAGCUAAAUACCGGCCAGAGACCGAUAGCGCACAAGUAGAGUGAUCGAAAGAUGAAAAGCACUUUGAAAAGAGGGUUAAAAAGUACGUGAAAUUGUUGAAAGGGAAGCAUUCAUGACCAGACUUGGGCUUGGUUGAACAUCCGGCGUUCUCGCCGGUGCACUCUGCCAGCUCAGGCCAGCAUCAGUUUGCCCCGGGGGACAAAGGCGGUGGGAAUGUAGCUCCCUUCGGGGAGUGUUAUAGCCCGCCGUGUAAUGCCCUGGGGUGGACUGAGGUUCGCGCUUCGGCACGGAUGCUGGCGUAAUGGUCAUCAAUGA